AAAUAGAUCAGAUUAUUAAAUUUUCUCCUCCUUCUCCAUUUAGUCGAUCCAUAUCAGUCGCAUUAGAAAUAAUAAAAAUCUUUACUUUUUUGCAGUAACAAUGGUACAAAAUAAAUUAGGAAAGCAACUAGCUGUGUACCAAGGUUACACAUUUUCUGCAUGCACAUCAACAAGAGUGGUACCAAGAAGAUUUGAACUUGCACCAACAAUGGCCAAGGCUGCCGUGCACGCUUUCAUCUGCUUCAAGACUCAUAUAUGAUCAAAUGUCAACCGAUACAUUCACACCAAGCACCAAAGUUUGUUAUUCGUAAUGUACAAAUAAUCCGCACCCACUUGGGAAAGGAGCAGGUUUUAUACGACGGCUACACAUAUUACUGCAACGUGACCAGCGCUAACGGUUGGAAGAAGUACUGGAGAUGCACCCGCGGCGGGGGCUCCGGGUGCUGCGCUGCUAGACUGCACCUGUCGCAAGAUUACAAAGUCAUGAAAAUCAUUAAUGAGCAUCGCCAUCCACCACCACGAUUUAUCAUUAGAAAUGGAGUUUACACUAAAAUAGGAUAAAAUUGCAUCCCACCUGUCGAUAUGGAGUUAUAUUUCGUCACUUCAUUUAUCAGAUAUAAUUUUAUAUUCCUUAAGUAUUUUUUAAUGAUCGUAUUUUUAAUUUUAUUUGUGUAAGACAAAUUGUAAUCAUUAAUUAUAGACAACUAAAAUGAAUAACAAGGUAUUGUCUUUUAAAUUUUGUGUUAAUAUAUUUUACAUAUAUUAACCAUAUAGUUUCCCUAUUGUACAGGUAGCAUCGUACACACUUAAGAGUAACUAUUUUAAAUAUAUUACAACGGGUCACUCACGUAUUUUAAGUCGGAAACGCUAACUAAUAACUUAUAUUAUAUUAUAAUAUUAUUAACUAGUAACUAUUUUGAUUAAAACUGUCAAGGCAACUUCCGCCCACUUCCGGUUGUGGUUUACGCCGGUGCGGCGGCCGCUCUGCUAUUCGUUCUUUUUUUCAGAUAGAUUAUGUAAUAUGCUCUGUGGUUUACUUAUUUACCUCUUGGUCGAGGUACGAGUAUUUUGAUUUUUAAAUGUUUGGGUAGCUGGGUUUAUUCUCUCAAACGUUGUACUUAAACUAUAACAGUAAACAACAUCGUAAUUUUCUUUGCAGUAAGAAUAAUACACAACCGCGCAGGAAAGCAGCUAGCAUUGUACCAAGGUUACACAUAUUACUGUAUGCGCACAAAUAAGAGCGGCAAGAUGGUGUGGUUGUGCACGAACUAUGGUCCGUGUUGCGCCAGUCUCCAUCUAUCUCCAGAUUAUCAAGUGAUCAAAUCUCAAUCAGAGCAUUGUCACACGCCGCCUGUGUUUGUUAUACGUGAUGGAGUGUAUAUAAAGGUUUCAUAGAAAACUUUCGAUAUGGAGUUAUUUCGUCGAUAUUUCGUCACUUAAUUUUUCAGAUAUAAUUUUAUAUUUCUUAAGUAUUUUUUAAUGAUUGUAUUUUUUAUUUUAUUUGUGUAAGACAAAUUGUAAUCAUUAUAUAUUAUUUUAAUAUUAUUAAUUAGUAACUAUUUUGAUUAAAACUGGUAAGGCAACUUCGGUCCACUUCCGUUUGUGGCUUAUGCCGGUGCGGCGGCCUCUCCGCUCUAUUUGUGCGUGGACGCGUCCACACUUUUUAAAUUGGCAAUGCUAAAGGUAUUUGUAAGAAGUCAAUAGUUUUAUACUUAAUUCUACAUAUAUUAAUACCCAGACUCUCCAGUAAUGAGUCUUACGCCGUACGGGUGCCAUUUGAAUAUUAUCCGAAAUUGUAUUUGGCGUUUUUUAUGUAUCACUAUUGGUCACUCCUCUGCCUCCUCUUACUUAUUUACAUCUGUGUAGCCUUGUCGUCAUUUAAGAUAUCUGAAUCACUUCACUGCUUUUCUGGCAAACACAGUUUUUAUUAUAAAAUUAUUGUUGUGUGUAAUACUUUUAUGAAAUAAAGUCACUUUUCGAUAAUAUA